rnacentral:rRNA from 1 species
AUUGAACGCUGGCGGAAUGCUUUACACAUGCAAGUCGAACGGCAGCACGGGAGCUUGCUCCUGGUGGCGAGUGGCGAACGGGUGAGUAAUAUAUCGGAACGUAUCCAAUAAUGGGGGAUAACUAAUCGAAAGGUUGGCUAAUACCGCAUACGCCCUGAGGGGGAAAGCUGGGGAUCGUAAGACCUAGCGUUAAUGGAGCGGCCGAUAUCGGAUUAGCUAGUUGGUGGGGUAAAGGCCUACCAAGGCGACGAUCCGUAGCUGGUCUGAGAGGACGACCAGCCACACUGGAACUGAGACACGGUCCAGACUCCUACGGGAGGCAGCAGUGGGGAAUUUUGGACAAUGGGCGCAAGCCUGAUCCAGCCAUUCCGCGUGAGUGAAGAAGGCCUUCGGGUUGUAAAGCUCUUUCGCAAGGGAAGAAACGUUACGAGCGAAUAACUCGUGAUAAUGACGGUACCUUGAUAAGAAGCACCGGCUAACUACGUGCCAGCAGCCGCAGUAA